GUGGAUUAGAUACCCUGGUAGUCCACGCCGUAAACGAUGGAUACUAGCUGUUGGGGGCAACUUCAGUGGCUAAGCGAAAGUGAUAAGUAUCCCACCUGGGGAGUACGAACGCAAGUUUGAAACUCAAAGGAAUUGACGGGGGCCCGCACAAGCGGUGGAGCAUGUGGUUUAAUUCGAUGAUACGCGAGGAACCUUACCAAGGCUUAAAUGUAGAUUGACCGGUUUGGAAACAGACUUUUCGCAAGACAAUUUACAAGGUGCUGCACGGCCGUCGUCAACU
rnacentral:rRNA from 1 species